GACGAACGCUGGCGGCGUGCUUAACACAUGCAAGUCGAACGGAAAGGCCCUGCUUUUGUGGGGUGCUCGAGUGGCGAACGGGUGAGUAACACGUGAGUAACCUGCCCUUGACUUUGGGAUAACUUCAGGAAACUGGGGCUAAUACCGGAUAGGAGCUCCUGCUGCAUGGUGGGGGUUGGAAAGUUUCGGCGGUUGGGGAUGGACUCGCGGCUUAUCAGCUUGUUGGUGGGGUAGUGGCUUACCAAGGCUUUGACGGGUAGCCGGCCUGAGAGGGUGACCGGCCACAUUGGGACUGAGAUACGGCCCAGACUCCUCCGGGAGGCAGCAGUGGGGAAUAUUGCACAAUGGGCGGAAGCCUGAUGCAGCAACGCCGCGUGCUGGAUGACGGCCUUCGGGUUGUAAACCGCUUUCGCCUGUGACGAAGCGUGAGUGACGGUAAUGGGUAAAGAAGCACCGGCUAACUACGUG
rnacentral:rRNA from 1 species